GACAGAGGGUGCAAACGUUGUUCGGAAUUACUGGGCGUAAAGCGUGUGUAGGCGGUCCGAUAAGUCGGGUGUGAAAGCCCUGGGCUCAACCCAGGAAGUGCACUCGAAACUGCCGGGCUAGAGUAUCGGAGAGGUUGGUGGAAUUCUCGGUGUAGAGGUGAAAUUCGUAGAUAUCGAGAGGAACACCGGUGGCGAAGGCGGCCAACUGGACGAAUACUGACGCUGAGACACGAAAGCGUGGGAGCAAACAGG
rnacentral:rRNA from 1 species